GUAGGUGAACCUGCGGAAGGAUCAUUACAAAUCGAGUGGGGGAGGUUGGGGGUUGGGGGGAGUGGGUUGAAGGUUGGGAGCUGGAGGUUCCGGUGAGGAUUUGAUUCUCAGUGGGGGUCUCUAGUCUCUAGUCUUUAAUCCUCAAUCCUCAAUCCACCCUGCAACUAACACACACAUUAGCACAGGGCCGCAGGGUCUUGAUGUUUACGCUUGCAUGUUUGACAGAGUUAAAUUGAGACGUAAAAUGACA
rnacentral:misc_RNA from 1 species